CUACUCGCUUCGGCGGUACAUAUACUAAAAUUGAAAUAAUACAGAAAAGAUUAGCAUAACCCCUGCGCAAAAAUAACACGCAAAAUCGUGAAGCGUUUCACAUUUUU